CAUGGCUGUCGUCAGCUCGUGUCGUGAGAUGUUGGGUUAAGUCCCGCAACGAGCGCAACCCUCGCCCUUAGUUGCCAGCAUUCAGUUGGGCACUCUAAGGGGACUGGCGGUGAUAAGCCGAGAGGAAGGUGGGGAUGACGUCAAGUCCUCAUGGCCCUUACGGGCUGGGCUACACACGUGCUACAAUGGUGGUGACAGUGGGCAGCGAGACCGCGAGGUCGAGCUAAUCUCCAAAAGCCAUCUCAGUUCGGAUUGCACUCUGCAACUCGAGUGCAUGAAGUUGGAAUCGCUAGUAAUCGCGGAUCA
rnacentral:rRNA from 1 species